GCUUACGGCCAUACCACGUUAGGCACGCCCGAUCUCGUCUGAUUUCGAAAGCUAAGCAGGGUAGGGCCUGGUUAGUACUUGGAUGGGUGACCCUCUGGGAAUACCAGGUGCUGUAAGCA
rnacentral:rRNA from 10 species